rnacentral:rRNA from 1 species
CAGCCGCCACGGUAAGACGUAGGGUGCAAGCGUUGUCCGGAUUUACUGGGCGUAAAGAGCGCGUAGGCGGUCUGUUAAGUGUAGAGUGAAAUCUCCAGGGCUCAACCCGGAAACUGCUCUGCAUACUGGCAGACUUGAGGAUUGGAGAGGUCUGUGGAAUUCCUGGUGUAGCGGUGAAAUGCGUUGAUAUCAGGAGGAACACCCAUGGCGAAGGCAGCAGACUGGCCAAUAACUGACGCUGAGGCGCGAAAGCGUGGGUAGCAAACAGGAUUAGAUACCCGCGUAGUCCCUGUCUCUUAUA